CACUGCCGAGAAAAGCCUCUAGAUAGAAAAUAGGUGCCCGUACCGCAAACCGACACAGGUAGUCAAGAUGAGAAUUCUAAGGUGAGCGAGCGAACUCUCGUUAAGGAACUCGGCAAAAUGACCCCGUAACUUCGGGAGAAGGGGUGCUCUUUAGGGUUAACGCCCAGAAGAGCCGCAGUGAAUAGGCCCAAGCGACUGUUUAUCAAAAACACAGGUCUCUGCUAAACCGUAAGGUGAUGUAUAGGGGCUGACGCCUGCCCGGUGCUGGAAGGUUAAGAGGAGUGGUUAGCUUCUGCGAAGCUACGAAUCGAAGCCCCAGUAAACGGCGGCCGUAACUAUAACGGUCCU
rnacentral:rRNA from 1 species